GCCGCGGUGGUGGAAUUGGCAGACACGUACGUUUGAGGGGCGUAUGCCGUAAAGGCGUGUGGGUUCAAAUCCCACCCGCGGCA
rnacentral:tRNA from 1 species